GAAGACACAGAGGAAAGGCCGUGUGCACACACAGUGAGAAGGUAUCUGUCUGCAAAUCCAGCAGAGAAGCAUCAGGGGAAAACAAACACAGACACCUUGAUCUUGCCAUCUCUGAUUCUUAACCGCGUUGCAUACUGUCUCCUAUGUGAAGGCACGGGGCAAUCCCUCCAGUUAAAGUUUUGCAAAAGACAGAAUGGUGCUCAAAUGGAAACUCUUGUAAAAUGAGGGCUGAAGGAAAAUAAUGUAACAAAAGCUCUGCACGGCUUCCUGUCGCAUUAGUCAGGCUCACACCCUGCUCCACAAGUAAUUGUGGCUUGGCUUAAAUGUCUGUUCUGUGUGCAUUAGUCUUGACUGCCCAACGUGAUGGUAAGCUCUUUGAGGGAAAGGAUUUGUCUUUCAAAAUUUCUCUUCUUCUUGCGACCUCAUGCUGAGCAUGUAGAAAAUAG